rnacentral:rRNA from 1 species
UACGGAGGAUGCGAGCGUUAUCCGGAUUUAUUGGGUUUAAAAGGUGCGUAGGCGGGAUGCCAAGUCAGCGGUAAAAAUGCGGUGCUCAACGCCGUCGAGCCGUUGAAACUGGCGUUCUUGAGUGGGCGAGAAGUAUGCGGAAUGCGUGGUGUAGCGGUGAAAUGCAUAGAUAUCACGCAGAACUCCGAUUGCGAAGGCAGCAUACCGGCGCCCUACUGACGCUGAGGCACGAAAGCGUGGGUAUCGAACAGG